GAGGGUAUAGCUCAGUGGUAGAGUGCAUGCUUAACAUGCAUGAGGUCCUGGGUUCAAUCCCCAUUACCUCUA
rnacentral:tRNA from 1 species